CGUAUAAAUUUCACCACCAAUUUUCCUAGCAAAGUACACGGUCCAGCCUUCAUUAUUUCCUCAACUCCUUCCUCUCAAUCUCAUGUUCUUACUAGAUAGGCAACCCAUAGUCAUGAAGCUACAAAGCAGCCUUAGUCAGUCUAUCGCAAAUUUACAACCAAUUCAAGGGGAAACUGAUCAGAAUUUUUUUUCACUCUCGGCCAGCUAUCCGUAGUCAAGUUUAGAAGUUAAGGGUUGCAGAGAAUAUCCAAGCUUCUUAUCAGUUUUACUCAAACGAAGCUAACAGAUUCAGCAGAUGGUGACUUAGCAGUUGAAUUUUCUCCCUUUUGUUUCUCUUCAGUUUUAUGUUCCAGCUAAAUGUGUGAAGAAUAAUGACUUAGCUACAGAUUAUCUUACGUAAAAUAUGGCAGUUUAUGACCAGGAUUUAGAAGAAAGGCUGGAUUAAACCUCAUGCCUGUACUUAGCUGCAAAAUCUGAUCCAUAGCAGCAGGCAUCAGAUUUUCCUUCGAGUUCAGUUCUCACCAUUUCGAGCUUAUCUUCUCAGGCGAGAAGUAAUCAAGAUGCCAUGCACACUAAGUAAUCAAGAUGCCAUGCACACCUUACAGACUAUCACCGGAAAUUCUAGAGUUACUCCUCCUGAUAACUAACCAAAAUGCUUCAUUCCUUCAGUCGAAGCUCAGUUUCUACAUUCUUCACAGUUUCUGCACCACUCUUUCUUGAACCAGAAGUUAAAGUUCUAACUAGGCUCAACUUAUAGCUCACAUUAAACCAAUUAUGCCAUCUAAACAGUGAGUUAUUAUGGCGAGUGUUACCUUUUUUCCUCCUUAAAGUUCGAUGUUGCAGGCUGCUCAAGUUUCUGUUUCGGCUCUUCAAUUCCUAACACUCGAUUCUCCCGUUUCCUUGCAGUACUCUUGCUUGCUUUUGGUUAGCAAGUGAUGGAGCUGGCCAAGCUUUCCCUCCCACUCUCGCACUCAGUUCUAUACUUUCAGUUCUGGUCCAGAAAGGAAGAAAGAAAACAGCAACUGUCUAGCCCGUUGCUUUCUACUUAGAAGGCUCUUGUACUCUGUUAAUUCUUUCCUUUGAAAACUUAAAGAUCAGCAGAAAAUUAUAGUGCUCGGUGGUCAAGGUUCCAGUCGGUGGUACACCCUUCUAGGCUGCUCCUGCUCAAGCCACCGCCCCAAAUUUUAACAAGUAGUUGGCUCUCUCUUGCUACUCGGUCUGCCGCUUGGAUUUGGCAGACCCUUAGCAGAGAAAUCUUUCUUUGGUCUCACUCAAUCACCGCCCAAGCCAAACUCCUAUUUAUUUUCUCAAUUCCACCGCUUAGGCUUAGUAGUUUAGGUGGACAUUUUCAUUUGAUUGUUCCUCAGCCACGGCAAAUAAUGCACCAUUACUUCCUUAGGCUGCAUGAUAGUUUAACCAAAAUCCUAAGGUUGGUUUGGUAUUUUCAUUUUAGUUCA